rnacentral:rRNA from 1 species
GACUGCGUGCCUUUUGAAGAAUGAGCCUGCGAGUUUGCGGUAUGUUGCGAGGUUAACCCGUGUGGGGAAGCCGUAGCGAAAGCGAGUCCGAAGAGGGCGACCCAGUAGCGUGCCCAAGACCCGAAGCGGAGUGAUCUAGCCAUGGGCAGGUUGAAGCGGAGGUAAGACUUCGUGGAGGACCGAACCCACCAGGGUUGAAAAC